GGGGAAUCUUGCGCAAUGGGCGAAAGCCUGACGCAGCAACGCCGCGUGCGGGAUGAAGGCCCUCGGGUCGUAAACCGCUUUCGACAGGGAAGAAAAUGACGGUACCUGUAGAAGAAGCCCCGGCCAACUACGUGCCAGCAGCCGCGGUAAUACGUAGGGGGCGAGCGUUGUCCGGAUUUAUUGGGCGUAAAGAGCUCGUAGGCGGUUAACUAAGUCAGAUGUGAAAACUCAGGGCCUAACUCUGAGCCUGCAUUUGAUACUGGUUUGACUAGAGUCAAGUAGGGGAGUGUGGAAUUCCCAGUGUAGCGGUGAAAUGCGCAGAUAUUGGGAGGAACACCAGCAGCGAAGGCGGCACUCUGGGCUUGUACUGACGCUGAGGAGCGAAAGCAUGGGUAGCAAAC
rnacentral:rRNA from 1 species